UAGGCUUCUCGGCCUUUUGGCUAAGAUCAAGUGUAGUAUCUGUUCUUAUCCGUUUAAUACCUGAUACGUCCUCUAUUUGAGGACUAUAUAUUAAAUGGAUUUUUGGGACUGAGAGAGUUUGGAGAGAACUGUGAUUAGCCCAAGGUCACCCAGUAGCAGCAAGCCUUUAUUGGCAUAGACAACAGUAC